rnacentral:ncRNA from 1 species
UAAUAUCUGAUCAUUAUUAAUAAAUGUAAAUCUUUAUAUUUAUUAAUAUAAUAAUUGCAAAUCUAUAUUAUUAAGAUCAUAUCCUAAUAAUAGCAAUUAUUUAUUUAUUUAUUUAAUAUGAUGCUCAGAUGAUGGGUAACACUUGAAAGGGUUAUGACAAAUCAAUAUGAUCCAUAUGAUCUGGGCUAUAGACGUGCUACAAGAAUAAUAAACAAAAUGAUGCAAAUUCGCGAGAAUGAGCUAACCAUUAAAUAUUAUUAACCUUCCGGAUUGAAGGCUGGAAUUCGCCUUUAUGAAGUAGGAAUUUCGAGUAAUCGUGAAUUAGAAUGUCACGGUGAAGACAAAUCUUUAGAGUGUACUAACUGCUCAUCACAGGAUGAAAGAUCUGGUGGGAUGAAAUUGGGCUAGACAAGUAACUAUAUCUUAAAGUUUUUUAAAACACUAAUUAAUAUUAGUAAUGUUGUAAGUCUGGCAGUGUGAUUUCUACGGAUUGAUUAUUUUGAAGUUGAAACAAGGUUGUGCUAAGGGAACUUGGUGCAGAUAGUUGAAAUGU